GACCAGGCGGCAGGCUGCCGGCGGGCGGGCGGACGGCACGGAGGGAGGGAGCGGGCGAGCAGUGAGUAAGCCAGCGAGGGCGGCCGGGUCCCGAGGUCAGCCGAGAUUUCUCAGGUCCCUCCGGCCCCCUCCCUGGAGUCCACAGCGCCUCCAGUGUCCAGCGGAUCGGACACGGCCCGGCCCGGCCAUGGCCUCGUUGCUGAAGGUGGAUCAGGAAGUGAAGCUCAAGGUUGAUUCUUUCAGGGAGCGGAUCACAAGUGAGGCAGAAGACUUGGUGGCAAAUUUUUUCCCAAAGAAGUUGUUAGAACUUGAUAGUUUUCUGAAGGAACCAAUCUUAAACAUCCAUGACCUAACUCAGAUCCACUCUGACAUGAAUCUCCCAGUCCCUGACCCCAUUCUUCUCACCAAUAGCCAUGAUGGACUGGAUGGUCCCACUUAUAAGAAGCGAAGGUUGGAUGAUUGUGAAGAAGCCUUCCAAGGUAAGAGGCACCCUUACCUCACCUCCCCUCACCCCACCCCUGACUUGCAACCCUGAGA
rnacentral:sRNA from 1 species